GACAGGAGGUGCCGAGCGUUAGGCGGAAUCACUAGGGCUUAAAGCGUGUGUAGGCGGAUCGUUAAGUACCGUUGGUGAAAUCCCCCGGCUCAACCGGGGAACUGCUGGGUAUACUGGCGAUCUUGAGCGAUCUAGGGGCAGAUGGAACAAGUGGUGGAGCGGUGAAAUGCGUAGAUAUCACUUGGAACGCCAAAGGUGAAAACAGUCUGCUGGGGAUCUGCUGACGCUGAGACACGAAAGCCAGGGGAGGCGAAACGGG
rnacentral:rRNA from 1 species